UACGAAGGUGGCAAGCGUUGUUCGGAUUUACUGGGCGUACAGGGAGCGUAGGCGGUUGGAUAAGCCCUCCGUGAAAUCUCCAGGCUUAACCUGGAAAGUGCAGAGGGGACUGUUCAGCUAGAGGAUGGGAGAGGAGCGCGGAAUUCCCGGUGUAGCGGUGAAAUGCGUAGAGAUCGGGAGGAAGGCCGGUGGCGAAGGCGGCGCGCUGGACCACUACUGACGCUGAGGAACGAAAGCUAGGGGAGCAAACAGG
rnacentral:rRNA from 1 species